rnacentral:rRNA from 1 species
UACGUAGGGUGCGAGCGUUAAUCGGAAUGACUGGGCGUAAAGCGUGCGCAGGCGGUCUGUUAAGACAGAUGUGAAAUCCCCGGGCUUAACCUGGGAACUGCAUUUGUGACUGCAUGGCUAGAGUACGGUAGAGGGGGAUGGAAUUCCGCGUGUAGCAGUGAAAUGCGUAGAUAUGCGGAGGAACACCGAUGGCGAAGGCAAUCCCCUGGACCUGUACUGACGCUCAUGCACGAAAGCGUGGGGAGCAAACAGG